AUUGAACGCUGGCGGCAGGCCUAACACAUGCAAGUCGAGCGGAUCGGCCGACGGGUGAGUAAUGCCUAGGAAUCUUCCUGUUAGUGGGUGAUAACGUCCGGAAACGGGCGCUCAUACCUCAUCCUAUCCGAUGAGACUAGGUCGGAUUAGCUAGUUGGUGGGGUAACGGCCUACCAAGGCGACGAUCCGUAACUUGUCUGAGAGGAUGAUCAGUCACACUGGAACGGAGACACGGUCCAGACUCCUACGGGAGGCAGCAGUGGGGAAUAUUGGACAAUGGGCGAAAGCCUGAUCCAGCCAUGCCGCGUGUGUGAAGAAGGUCUUCGGAUUGUAAAGCACUUUAAGUUGGGAGGCGUUACCAACAGAAUAAGCACCGGCUAACUUCGUGCCAGCAGCCGCGGUAAUUC
rnacentral:rRNA from 1 species